CCACUCCGAGAAGAAGAAUUUAUCUCAUAUGUUCUUUCCAGGCUUGAUGAAGCAUAUAACUACGUUGUUAGUUCCAUGACCACUCGUGUUAAACUUGUAUCCACUAAUGAUCUCUUUGCGCACUUAAUCAGUCAUGAGA